UUCUACUUUGGUGUCCUCUGCAAAAAAAAGCCAUGGACCCUUUUUGUUCAACCUGAUCAAAAAAAAAAAAAAAAAAAAACAGAACAGAACAGAUAGACAGAAAUAAGUGAGUAAGUAGUGAUUUACAUAUUAGAAGAAACAUGGGGAGGCACAUUGAAAACUGUGCCAGGAGAUUUCAGCAAAAAUGAUACUUUGAAUAGACCUUUAGAAGUUUUUAUGGAGACGUUUUCAAAGGUAAGAAGGCUAGGGCACCUGAUCUUAACCCAAGAUGCUGUGAGUGUCUUGUUGGAGAAUGAAAACUAAAGCCAGGUAUCACUUUAGCAUUUCCUUAUUUAGUAUUCCUGCAACGAAUCAUGUUACAUAUGUAAACUGAAAACAUUAUUAAAGGAAAACUCCUGCUUAGAACUAAAAAAAAAAUCUAUUUUUCAAUCUAUAUUUGUUUUCUGAGCAA